rnacentral:ncRNA from 1 species
GCGUGGGUCGGCCCGCUGAGCAGGGACCAGCGGGCUGGGGGACACCGUCGCCUCAUUCCCCGCAGGCGACGGACGGUCCGGGAGGCGAGCAGCGUCUCCCGGACCGAG